UACAGAGGGUGCAAACGUUGCUCGGAAUUAUUGGGCGUAAAGCGUGCGCAGGCGGCCUCUUAAGUCAGAUGUGAAAUCCCCGGGCUUAACCUGGGAACUGCGUUUGAAACUGGGAGGCUUGAGUGUGGAAGAGGGGGGUGGAAUUCCAGGUGUAGCAGUGAAAUGCGUAGAGAUCAGGCGGAACACCCGUGGCGAAGGCGGCCAGCUGGGCCGUCCCUGACGCUGAGGCGCGAAGGCGUGGGGAGCGAACGGG
rnacentral:rRNA from 1 species